CCUACGGGCGGCUGCAGUGGGGAAUAUUGGACAAUGGGGGGAACCCUGAUCCAGCCAUGCCGCGUGUGUGAAGAAGGCCCUCGGGUUGUAAAGCACUUUCAGUGAGGAAGAACGCCUGGUGGUUAAUACCCAUCAGGAAAGACAUCACUCACAGAAGAAGCACCGGCUAACUCCGUGCCAGCAGCCGCGGUAAUACGGAGGGUGCGAGCGUUAAUCGGAAUUACUGGGCGUAAAGCGCGCGUAGGUGGCUUGAUAAGCCGGUUGUGAAAGCCCCGGGCUCAACCUGGGAACGGCAUCCGGAACUGUCAAGCUAGAGUGCAGGAGAGGAAGGUAGAAUUCCCGGUGUAGCGGUGAAAUGCGUAGAGAUCGGGAGGAAUAACAGUGGCGAAGGCGGCCUUCUGGACUGACACUGACACUGAGGUGCGAAAGCGUGGGUAGCAAACAGGAUUAGAUACCCUGGUAGUC
rnacentral:rRNA from 1 species